CAGAGAAUAGUUUAAAUUAAAAUUUUAAUUUUGGAGAUUAAUGAUGGGUAGUAAUACUUUUCUCUGA
rnacentral:tRNA from 1 species